rnacentral:rRNA from 1 species
GACGAACGCUGGCGGCGUGCUUAACACAUGCAAGUCGAACGAAGUGGCGAACGGGUGAGUAACGCGUAAUCAACCUGCUCUUGAGAGGGGGACAACAGUUGGAAACGACUGCUAAUACCGCAUACUGAAGGAGGGGAUUGCGUCUGAUUAGCUAGUUGGAGGGGUAACGGCCCACCAAGGCGAGGAUCAGUAGCCGGGCUGAGGUGAUGAACGGCCACAAUGGGACUGAGACACGGCCCAGACUCCUACGGGAGGCAGCCGUGGGGAAUCUUCCGCAAUGGACGAAAGUCGUACGGAGCAACGCCGCGGUAGUGAUGACGGCCUUCGGGUUGUAAAGCUCUGUUAAUCGGGACGCGGUACCGGAAUAGAAAGCCACGGCUAACUACGUGCCAGCAGCCGCGGUAAUUC